rnacentral:tRNA from 1 species
CGGAGCGUAGCUCAGCCCGGUAGAGUACUUGCUUUGGGAGCAAGGUGUCGCAGGUUCAAAUCCUGUCGCUCCGACCA